GGCUGAUCCAAGUGCAGUCAUGUUUACAACUAAUUGAUCACAACCAGUUACAGAUUUCUUUGUUCCUUCACUCCUACUACUUCACUUUACUAACCAUAU
rnacentral:Y_RNA from 1 species